rnacentral:ncRNA from 2 species
UAUCGCCGUAGAGGCGCAACGACAAAGAGUAACUAUUAUUGGGGUGAUGCCAAUGAAUAAUAGUGAAAGGUGUAAGUUGCCGAAGUAAGUUGCAUAUCAAAGCGGCUUGCUGGUGUUGUAUUCGAAUAGGAACAACACUGCCAUAGUCUUUUAUCUAUAAACUAUGGAGCGCUACUGUAGGG